UACGGGGGGAGCAAGCGUUGUUCGGAUUUACUGGGCGUAAAGGGCGCGUAGGCGGCCACCGCAAGUCGACUGUGAAAUCUCCGGGCUUAACCCGGAAAGGUCAGCCGAUACUGCGGGGCUAGAGUGCAGAAGGGGCAACUGGAAUUCUCGGUGUAGCGGUGAAAUGCGUAGAUAUCGGGAGGAACACCGGUGGCGAAGGCGGCAUUCUGGACCGACAUUGACGCUGAGGAGCGAAAGCCAGGGGAGCAAACGGG
rnacentral:rRNA from 1 species